UACGUAGGGUGCAAGCGUUGUCCGGAAUUAUUGGGCGUAAAGAGCUCGUAGGCGGUGUGUCACGUCGGCCGUGAAAACCUGCAGCUUAACUGUGGGCGUGCGGUCGAUACGGGCAUCACUGGAGUUCGGCAGGGGAGACUGGAAUUCCCGGUGUAGCGGUGAAAUGCGCAGAUAUCGGGAGGAACACCAGUAGCGAAGGCGGCACUCUGGGCCGGUACUGACGCUGAGGAGCGAAAGCGUGGGGAGCAAACAGGAUUGAG
rnacentral:rRNA from 1 species